GACGAACGCUGGCGGCGUGCCUAAUACAUGCAAGUUGAGCGCUGAAGGUUGGUACUUGUACCAACUGGAUGAGCAGCGAACGGGUGAGUAACGCGUGGGGAAUCUGCCUUUGAGCGGGGGACAACAUUUGGAAACGAAUGCUAAUACCGCAUAAAAACUUUAAACACAAGUUUUAAGUUUGAAAGAUGCAAUUGCAUCACUCAAAGAUGAUCCCGCGUUGUAUUAGCUAGUUGGUGAGGUAAAGGCUCACCAAGGCGAUGAUACAUAGCCGGCCUGAGAGGGUGGUCGGCCACAUUGGGGCUGGGACACGGCCCAAACUCCUACGGGAGGCAGCAGUAGGGAAUCUUCGGCAAUGGACGAAAGUCUGACCGAGCAACGCCGCGUGAGUGAAGAAGGUUUUCGGAUCGUAAAACUCUGUUGGUAGGGAAGAACGUUGGUGAGAGUGGAAAGCUCAUCAAGUGACGGUAACUACCCAGAAAGGGACGGCUAACUACGUG
rnacentral:rRNA from 1 species